GAGCAUGUGGUUUAAUUCGAUGAUACGCGAGGAACCUUACCUGGGCUUGAAAGUUAGUGACCGCUCUUGAAAGGGAGCUUUCCGCAAGGACACGAAACUAGGUGCUGCAUUGGCUGUCGUCAGCUCGUGCCGUGAGGUGUCGGAUUAAGUUCCAUAACGAGCGCAACCCCUAUUUCUAGUUGCCAGCGAGUAAUGUCGGGGACUCUAGAGAAACUGCCCGCGUAAGCGGUGAGGAAGGUGGGGACGACGUCAAGUCAUCACGGCCCUUACGUCCAGGGCGACACACGUGCUACAAUGGUAGGGACAGUGAGUGCAAGCCGGUAACGGUGAGCUAAUCUACAAACCCUAUCUCAGUUCGGAUCGAGGUCUGCAACCCGACCUCGUGAAGCUGGAAUCGCUAGUAAUCGCAUAUCAGCCAUGAUGCGGUGAAUACGUUCCCGGGCCUUGUACACACCGCCCGUCAAGCCAUGGAAGUUG
rnacentral:rRNA from 1 species